GAUGAACGCUAGCGAUAGGCUUAACACAUGCAAGUCGAGGGGCAGCACAUGAGUGGCAACACGAUGGUGGCGACCGGCGCACGGGUGAGUAACACGUAUGCAACCUGCCCAUAACUGGGGGAUAACCCGUCGAAAGGCGGACUAAUACCGCAUGACAACGAUGAUCCGCAUGGUGAUUCGUUUAAAGAUUUAUCGGUUAUGGAUGGGCAUGCGUUCCAUUAGGGAGUUGGCAGGGUAACGGCCUACCAAGCCUACGAUGGAUAGGGGUUCUGAGAGGAAGGACCCCCACACUGGUACUGAGACACGGACCAGACUCCUACGGGGGGCAGCAGUGAGGAAUAUUGGUCAAUGGGCGAUAGCCUGAACCCGCCAAAUCGCGUGAAGGAUGAAGGUAUUAUGUAUUGUAAACUUCUUUUGUCGGGGAAUAAAGUGCAGCACGUGUGCUGUUUUGUAUGUACCCGAAGAAUAAGGAUCGGCUAACUCCGUGCCAGCAGCCGCAGUAAAAC
rnacentral:rRNA from 1 species